rnacentral:sRNA from 1 species
GGCUUGAGCAAUUCACUUUCCCUCCCUGAGUGUUGAUGACCUGUGCUGUGAAAUAGAGACAGACACCUACGACCUGCUGUCAGAGCCCAUCAAG